UCUGGCUGGCACCCAAAGCAACAGGUGGGA
rnacentral:piRNA from 1 species